rnacentral:lncRNA from 1 species
GUUUUUUAAAAGACUUAUUUAUUUUAUUCUAGAGAGAGAGAGUACACUCGAGCAGGGAGAGGGGCAGAGGAAGAGGGAGAGAGAGAACCCCACUCAGAUCCCCAACUUAGCCCCAUGGGGCUCAAUCCCAUGAUAUCAAGAUCAUGACCCCACUAGAGCCAAAACCAAGAGCCAGUUGCCCAACCAACUGAGCCACCCAGGCUCCCCACUGUGUAUAUCUUUCGACUUAAACCACUGUCUUAAAGGCAGACAAUCAAUCAUUUUCAAAUUCUUUGCCCAGUUUUACUAACUAAUGUAGAGCAUCCACAUGGCCCAACGUACUGCAUAUUUUACCAUCUGUUGUAGAGAUUGUGGAAAGAAAAUUGAAAACAAAAUAUAUUGUCUUUCACAGUAAGACAAUUGCAGCUAGACACCCAGUUGCUCAAGUACAGACAUUUUUCACCAACUUUUACAAUUAAAUGUGGCCAUGGGAUAAGGCCUUGGUAAUAGAAUAAAGCAACAUGGCAGGCAUCACUUCUGUUUGGAGCCUUAAAACAUUGCAUAACCCUCCCUUAUGUUCUGUUUCUUCCUCCUUUACCCAGGAAAAUGAUAUGGCUAUGCACCAUGUAUAUGAGGUCGACAUCUUAGGAAAAGACAGAACAAUCAGAUGCAAACAGUUUCCAGAAUGACCAUGUGGAACAGUCAUUCACCAGCCAAGUCUGUCACCAUACAUCAGUUAUACGAUAAGUCAAUAAUUUUUUUUUCUUGAAGACAUUAACCUUUGGAACCUCUGUUAACACAGUUUAGCCUUCACCUUAACUAAUAUAAGUGGUUUGCACACAUUUGGAAUAAAACGAGUAUUAUCAAUUUCUUAGUAUCUUGCUAACAACAAGUCAUACAUCCAUCCAACAGCUUGUGAAGUAAUCUCAUAGAAGAUGGGGUAUAAUUACAGAAAAAACUGUCCGUUUUAUUCUGCAAAGAAAAGGUUAUUUGUUCGGCUUCAGUUAGCAGGGGACAUAUUCACACUUACAUCUGAUGAGACUUCGAUUAGAACCGUACUGCAAAGUAAAUCAGAAAUAUUGAACAUGUUUAUUAUUAUUGCAACCAAUGAAUAUGGUGGUACACCUUGCCACUAGGCCUUCUUUAAUGUCUCUCAAUAAAAUUAUACAAUUCUCUUCA